GUAGGGAAUAUUGGGCAAUGGCCGAGAGGCUGACCCAGCCAUGCCGCGUGCAGGAAGAAGGCCUUCUGGGUUGUAAACUGCUUUUAUCUGGGAAGAAAACGCUCUUGCGAGAGUAACUGACGGUACCAGAUGAAUAAGCACCGGCUAACUCCGUGCCAGCAGCCGCGGUAAUACGGAGGGUGCAAGCGUUGUCCGGAUUUAUUGGGUUUAAAGGGUGCGUAGGCGGCCCGUUAAGUCAGCGGUGAAAUCCCACGGCUCAACCGUGGAACUGCCGUUGAUACUGGCGGGCUUGAGUUCGGUCGAGGCGGGCGGAACUGGUGGUGUAGCGGUGAAAUGCUUAGAUACCACCAAGAACCCCGAUUGCGUAGGCAGCUCGCUGGGCCGAAACUGACGCUGAGGCACGAAAGCGUGGGGAGCGAACAGGAUUAGAAACCCCAGUAGUCC
rnacentral:rRNA from 1 species